GAACACCUGGGAUGUACGAUAAUCUUGUAUAUUUAGAACCUACAUUUACUUUAAAAGGGACACCUAAAUCGCUUAUUAGAUGUCAAGCCUCCGAUGAGACAGUGGAAGGCAGAAGAUGAGUUGCGGUAACCCACCUAGCUUUCGCUAGGAGUCUAAAUUGCAAGAACCGGCAUUUUGGGUUCCUU
rnacentral:other from 1 species